GCAGGGGUCGGAUAGCCCGGUCAAUUCCGCCAGCUUGAGGUGUUGGUUGCUUAGUGCAUACGCGAGUUCAAAUCUCGCCCCCUGCA
rnacentral:tRNA from 1 species